rnacentral:lncRNA from 1 species
AAAAGCGAAAUUACCUAUCCACGUGCGAGACUUCCGAGCAAUUAUUUCUAGCAAUACAACAACCACGUUCCACCCCGUCGGCAUGCUUCUAAGGUGGCGCAAGACGAACCCAACAAGCUUCAGAUCCAGCAAAAGAAAACUAGGCGAAAAUCCAGAAAGCAGAAAAAGACGAGAGGCUUUAGGUAUGCUCAGAUUAUUAAUUAACUUAUGCAACCUCGCCCUAUAUUUAUAACCUAGGCGAGAAUCUUGCUUCAACGCGUCAAAUUAGUAUAGAACAAGAUAAGCUUAAGAUUAUACGGAUAAUGAUCAGAAUUAGGAUAAAGAUAAAGAUAAGAAUUAAAAUAAAAUAAACUGGGUGUAUGAACCGCACACGCCGCCCGCCUGGCUCGGCUUGUACUCGUGCUCGUGCUCGUACCGUGCGUCUGUGUAUUUAAACGAUAGCAUUACUCUCAUUUUCUUUCAAGCAACUGGCUUGAGAACAAGGGAAUAUAUAAAAACAACAAACACCCUUUUGAUUUCCAAUCUCGGAUUAAAUAUCACACAUGAAAAUUUUAGUUGAGCUCCCCAAACGGCCCAUUAAUAAUUAUUGGGCUCUCAAGAGAUUUUAACAAGUUUUAAAUCAUAACAAACUCAAUAAAAUUCAAUAAUAUAAGUCACAGUUCUACUCAAGGUUGUAGUAACAACCAACCACCAUCUCUAGAGCAAGUGAUUGGUAUCCAAAGUUCUAAGUUUGAAUUCUAUUUGAUUUACAUUUUCAACUAAGUUUAUUUCUAAAUGAAAUAAACGAAGCGGAUAGCACGCUAUCUAUCUAAAAAAAAAAGAAGUUAUAUUAACAAACUAUUAUGGUUUAAAAACAAUUUUUACCGUGCAUCGCACAUUUUUAUUUAUUUUAUUUAAAAUAAGAUACAUGAUAAAAAUAAAAUAUUUAUAGAGAAAUUUGUUAGUGACUGUUAAGGAAAAAAAAAAUUGAUGAAUAU